CAGGAGCACCACUGGACCCCAGGGAAUCCCUCAGCUCUCCCUAAGGUAGGGAGGCUGGGGGAUGACAUUUAAUAAAAAAAAAAACAUGUGUGUUAGAGUGUGUGUGUUAGUGUGUGUGUUAGUGUUAGAGUGUGUGUAUUAGUGUUAGAGUGUUAGUGUUAGAGUGUGAGUGUGUGUUAGUAUGUGUGUGUUAGUGUGUGUUAGUAUGUGUGUGUUAGAAUGUGUGUGUUAGUGUUAGAGUGUGUCAGUGAGUGUGUUACUUUGUGUGUCUGUUACUGAGUGUGUUAGUUUGUGUGCGUCAGUGAGUGUGUGUUUUGUGAGUGUCUGUCAGUGAGUGUGUAUGUGUGUCUGUUAGCUAGUGUGUAUGCGUCUGUUCGUGAGAGUGUG